GGUGUUGUCUCUUAUACAUCCGGACGUCAUCCGUUCGUGACAGCAGAGAGAAAAUGGGUACCCAUGGCGGUGUUCCCUUUGUGCCCUUUUUAUGGGCUGUUCGAAACCGCGCCGCGAAAGCGCGGUACACGAGCUGACCUGUCCUGAUGACGUGUGACGGCUCAUUGUGAUGUUUUUCCAUUUCCAGUCUAAGAGUGUACGUUGUAGUUAUUAAAGUCAAUAAAGGCAGCAGGCUUCAGUUACGUCAUACGCCUGCUCCAUACGAGGUCCCCUCAGCUCCAGGUAGAGGUACCAGAGAAAUUUGCGAAGGCAUGUAUCUUCACUCUGUUUGGGUAUUGUCCGUGUCCGCGAUCCAUCACAGCCGGUGUCGUCUGUGCAUCACGACAUCGUCCGCUGUUGCCCCACCAGAGCAAAUGGGCGCCCAAAUGGGGUUUCCUCUGGGCGUUGUAGUUGCCCUCUGGUUUCCCCUGUCGUGGCUCGGCAUUCUCUUUUGGUCCGCAUGCUUCCGGUACCAGCGUCGCGUAGAGAUCAGAGGGCAGCGUAGCCGAGGUGUUGCCUGGUCUUCCGUGGCCGUCUCCCUUGUUCUGCUUGCCAGUCUGGGUUACACUUGUUUUCGUGUGUGACGUGUGUUAUAGUAGUCGUGUGCUCGUUGGGCAAGUCUCUCUGUAACCGUAUUAAUCUCCAGUUGCCGUCUACUUCCCACUGAUGUCGAGGGGUACGCGUUCAUUGGACUGGUAGAUGUGUUAUUCAAGGCAAGAAGUCUGCGUUGUCUAAGUGAGCAGAUAAAUUAUCUGUUGAGAACCACAUGUACAGUCACCGGGGUAGAAAGUGUCGAAAGAAGCUAAUGGACAGUGGCGAUUGAUAACUAGACACAUGUCUGCCUACAUGCAGUAGGUGCCCCCAUACGGCAAAGAAUGUGCCUGUGGUAACCGCGCCACUCUGGUUUGCAGACGCCACCGCACGUAAUGUCUGUCAUGCUUUAAGUUGUAUUUAUGCGCGCAUGCACAUACCAACCUAAAUAUGGAUAUCUGUAUAUGGCGCUGGUAAAGUGUGUGCGGAGAAGCCGGUUUUCUCCUGCUACCAACAGGAUUCGUCGGAAUGG
rnacentral:lncRNA from 1 species